rnacentral:rRNA from 1 species
GCAGCGGUAAUUCCAGCUCCAAUAGCGUAUAUUAACGUUGUUGCAGUUAAAAAGCUCGUAGUUGAAGUGAGGGAGUGUGUGGGUAUGAGAGCUAGUCUCAAGUACUUACAACCUCCCCCCUCCAAUCGGUGUAGUGGGGUAUUCAGUUAUUCUACUACUCCUUUGGUCGUUUACUGUGAGAAAAUUAGAGUGUUCAAAGCGGGCGUUUGGUUGAAUAGAUUAGCAUGGAAUAAUGAUUGAAGGCUUUCGUGUUCGAUUUGAUUGGUUUUUUCAUGGAAGCAAGGUUAAAAGGAACAGUUGGGGGUAUUCAUAUUCACUACUUAGAGGUUAUAUACUCGGAUUUAUGGAAGAUGAACAGGUGCGAAAGCAUUUACGAAGGAUUUUGGCAAUAAUCAAGAACGAAAG